AUUGAACGCUGGCGGCAGGCCUAACACAUGCAAGUCGAACGAGUGGCGGACGGGUGAGUAAUGUCUGGGAAACUGCCCGAUGGAGGGGGAUAACUACUGGAAACGGUAGCUAAUACCGCAUACCAUCGGAUGUGCCCAGAUGGGAUUAGCUAGUAGGUGGGGUAACGGCUCACCUAGGCGACGAUCCCUAGCUGGUCUGAGCGGAUGACCAUCCGCCCUAGAGCGGAGACACGGUCCAGACUCCUACGGGAGGCAGCAGUGGGGAAUAUUGCACAACGGGCGCAAGCCUUAUGCAGCCAUCCCGCGUGUAUGAAGAAGGCCGUCGGGUUGUAAAGUACUUCCAGCGGGGAGGCGUUACUCGCAGAAGAAGCACCGGCUAACUCCGUGCCAGCAGCCGCGGUAAUUC
rnacentral:rRNA from 1 species